GGGUUGUGAGGUUAAGCGACUAAGCGUACACGGUGGAUGCCCUGGCAGUCAGAGGCGAUGAAGGACGUGCUAAUCUGCGAUAAGCGUCGGUAAGGUGAUAUGAACCGUUAUAACCGGCGAUUUCCGAAUGGGGAAACCCAGUGUGAUUCGUCACACUAUCAUUAACUGAAUCCAUAGGUUAAUGAGGCGAACCGGGGGAACUGAAACAUCUAAGUACCCCGAGGAAAAGAAAUCAACCGAGAUUCCCCCAGUAGCGGCGAGCGAACGGGGAGCAGCCCAGAGCCUGAAUCAGUGUGUGUGUUAGUGGAAGCGUCUGGAAAGGCGCGCGAUACAGGGUGACAGCCCCGUACACAAAAAUGCACAUACUGUGAGCUCGAUGAGUAGGGCGGGACACGUGGUAUCCUGUCUGAAUAUGGGGGGACCAUCCUCCAAGGCUAAAUACUCCUGACUGACCGAUAGUGAACCAGUACCGUGAGGGAAAGGCGAAAAGAACCCCGGCGAGGGGAGUGAAAAAGAACCUGAAACCGUGUACGUACAAGCAGUGGGAGCACGCUUAGGCGUGUGACUGCGUACCUUUUGUAUAAUGGGUCAGCGACUUAUAUUCUGUAGCAAGGUUAACCGAAUAGGGGAGCCGAAGGGAAACCGAGUCUUAACUGGGCGUUAAGUUGCAGGGUAUAGACCCGAAACCCGGUGAUCUAGCCAUGGGCAGGUUGAAGGUUGGGUAACACUAACUGGAGGACCGAACCGACUAAUGUUGAAAAAUUAGCGGAUGACUUGUGGCUGGGGGUGAAAGGCCAAUCAAACCGGGAGAUAGCUGGUUCUCCCCGAAAGCUAUUUAGGUAGCGCCUCGUGAAUUCAUCUCCGGGGGUAGAGCACUGUUUCGGCAAGGGGGUCAUCCCGACUUACCAACCCGAUGCAAACUGCGAAUACCGGAGAAUGUUAUCACGGGAGACACACGGCGGGUGCUAACGUCCGUCGUGAAGAGGGAAACAACCCAGACCGCCAGCUAAGGUCCCAAAGUCAUGGUUAAGUGGGAAACGAUGUGGGAAGGCCCAGACAGCCAGGAUGUUGGCUUAGAAGCAGCCAUCAUUUAAAGAAAGCGUAAUAGCUCACUGGUCGAGUCGGCCUGCGCGGAAGAUGUAACGGGGCUAAACCAUGCACCGAAGCUGCGGCAGCGACGCUGAUGCGUUGUUGGGUAGGGGAGCGUUCUGUAAGCCUGUGAAGGUGUGCUGUGAGGCAUGCUGGAGGUAUCAGAAGUGCGAAUGCUGACAUAAGUAACGAUAAAGCGGGUGAAAAGCCCGCUCGCCGGAAGACCAAGGGUUCCUGUCCAACGUUAAUCGGGGCAGGGUGAGUCGACCCCUAAGGCGAGGCCGAAAGGCGUAGUCGAUGGGAAACAGGUUAAUAUUCCUGUACUUGGUGUUACUGCGAAGGGGGGACGGAGAAGGCUAUGUUGGCCGGGCGACGGUUGUCCCGGUUUAAGCGUGUAGGCUGGUUUUCCAGGCAAAUCCGGAAAAUCAAGGCUGAGGCGUGAUGACGAGGCACUACGGUGCUGAAGCAACAAAUGCCCUGCUUCCAGGAAAAGCCUCUAAGCAUCAGGUAACAUCAAAUCGUACCCCAAACCGACACAGGUGGUCAGGUAGAGAAUACCAAGGCGCUUGAGAGAACUCGGGUGAAGGAACUAGGCAAAAUGGUGCCGUAACUUCGGGAGAAGGCACGCUGAUAUGUAGGUGAAGCGACUUGCUCGUGGAGCUGAAAUCAGUCGAAGAUACCAGCUGGCUGCAACUGUUUAUUAAAAACACAGCACUGUGCAAACACGAAAGUGGACGUAUACGGUGUGACGCCUGCCCGGUGCCGGAAGGUUAAUUGAUGGGGUCAGCGCAAGCGAAGCUCUUGAUCGAAGCCCCGGUAAACGGCGGCCGUAACUAUAACGGUCCUAAGGUAGCGAAAUUCCUUGUCGGGUAAGUUCCGACCUGCACGAAUGGCGUAAUGAUGGCCAGGCUGUCUCCACCCGAGACUCAGUGAAAUUGAACUCGCUGUGAAGAUGCAGUGUACCCGCGGCAAGACGGAAAGACCCCGUGAACCUUUACUAUAGCUUGACACUGAACAUUGAGCCUUGAUGUGUAGGAUAGGUGGGAGGCUUUGAAGUGUGGACGCCAGUCUGCAUGGAGCCGGCCUUGAAAUACCACCCUUUAAUGUUUGAUGUUCUAACGUUGACCCGUGAUCCGGGUUGCGGACAGUGUCUGGUGGGUAGUUUGACUGGGGCGGUCUCCUCCUAAAGAGUAACGGAGGAGCACGAAGGUUGGCUAAUCCUGGUCGGACAUCAGGAGGUUAGUGCAAUGGCAUAAGCCAGCUUGACUGCGAGCGUGACGGCGCGAGCAGGUGCGAAAGCAGGUCAUAGUGAUCCGGUGGUUCUGAAUGGAAGGGCCAUCGCUCAACGGAUAAAAGGUACUCCGGGGAUAACAGGCUGAUACCGCCCAAGAGUUCAUAUCGACGGCGGUGUUUGGCACCUCGAUGUCGGCUCAUCACAUCCUGGGGCUGAAGUAGGUCCCAAGGGUAUGGCUGUUCGCCAUUUAAAGUGGUACGCGAGCUGGGUUUAGAACGUCGUGAGACAGUUCGGUCCCUA
rnacentral:rRNA from 1 species